UACAGAGGUCUCAAGCGUUGUUCGGAUUCAUUGGGCGUAAAGGGUGCGUAGGCGGCGCGGUAAGUCGGGUGUGAAAUCUUGGAGCUUAACUCCGAAACUGCAUUCGAUACUGCCGUGCUUGAGGACUGGAGAGGAAACUGGAAUUUACGGUGUAGCGGUGAAAUGCGUAGAUAUCGUAAGGAAGACCAGUGGCGAAGGCGGGUCUCUGGACAGUUCCUGACGCUGAGGCACGAAGGCCAGGGGAGCAAACGGG
rnacentral:rRNA from 1 species